rnacentral:rRNA from 1 species
GCACAACGCGAAGAACCUUACCAAGGCUUGACAUACACCAGAACACCCUGGAAACAGGGGACUCUUUGGACACUCGUGAACAGGUGGUGCAUGGUUGUCGUCAGCUCGUGUCGUGAGAUGUUGGGUUAAGUCCCGCAACGAGCGCAACCCUCGUUCUAUGUUGCCAGCACGUAAUGGUGGGAACUCAUGGGAUACUGCCGGGGUCAACUCGGAGGAAGGUGGGGAUGACGUCAAAUCAUCAUGCCCCUUAUGUCUUGGGCUUCACGCAUGCUACAAUGGCCGGUACAAAGGGCUGCAAUACCGUGAGGUGGAGCGAAUCCCAAAAAGCCGGUCCCAGUUCGGAUUGAGGUCUGCAACUCGACCUCAUGAAGUCGGAGUCGCUAGUAAUCGCAGAUCAGCAACGCUGCGGUGAAUACGUUCCCGGGUCUUGUACACACCG